CUUUUAGUGGCUGAUAAAAGCAUUGGCCUCUUAAGCCAAAAAAUGGUUGUUCCCUAAAAG
rnacentral:tRNA from 1 species